UAGUGCUCAGGAUGAUAUUUAAAGAUCCUCAACCACCUGAACAUCUUGUGAAUGAGAACAGUUGUGGUAUUUUGUAGCGAUGACCUUCAUCACCUUAAUCCUGACAAUGCUCCUCUGUCUACAUGGAUCCAGAGGUCAGUACACUCUGACUCAGACUCCAGCGGUGAAAGCUGCAUCUGUGGGGGACACGGCCAUUCUGACCUGUAAAGUCAGCAGUGCUGUGCACAGGAAUAGUAAUGGAAACUACCUUCACUGGUAUCAACAGAAGCCUGGAGGAGCUCCUAAACUUUUGAUAAAAUUGGCAAACCAACCACAUUCUGGAACUCCAUCUAGAUUCAAAGGGAGUGGAUCAAGCACAGACUUCACUCUGACCAUCAGUGGAGUCCAGACUGAAGAUGCAGGAGAUUACUACUGUCAGAGUCUUCACAACCCUAACAGUGUGUGGGUGUGGACUUUUGGUAGCGGCACGAAGCUUGAAGUUGGAAGUAACACCAGCCCCAAACUGACAGUCUUGCCCCCGUCAAGCGAAGAGCUCUCCAGCAAGAGUAUUGCCACGCUGGUGUGUCUGGCCAACGGAGGCUUCCCGUCAGACUGGGCUCUCAGCUGGAAGGUGGAUGGGAACAGCAAGACUGGGGUGGCCAGUCGCUGGGGUCCAGAGAAGAACGGCCUGUACAGCUGGAGCAGCACCCUGACCAUGUCUUCCCAGGAGUGGACCAAGGCUGCCUCCGUGACCUGUGAGGCCAAACAGGGCUCCCAGUCUCCAGUCACCAAGGCUAUAAAGCCAGGCGAAUGCUCUGACUAGAGCAAUUCCAUUUUCUUCAGUCUGGGUGACUGAUUAUAGUAUUUGUCUUAUUUUGUAUCGUUCAUGUGCUUACUGUACUGUGCUUAUCUUCAUUGACACAUAUCCACAGCCUUUUACUUCUUACUAUCUUGUACUGCCUAAUCAAUGAGAAAAUGUUCUUGUGCCAUUUCUGUUUUUGAAAAAAAUUUGAGUUGGAAAAAUAAAAACUUUCUACUGAACCACA